UACGUAGGGCGCAAGCGUUGUCCGGAAUUAUUGGGCGUAAAGAGCUCGUAGGCGGUUUGUCGCGUCUGCUGUGAAAACCUAAGGCUCAACCUUGGGCUUGCAGUGGGUACGGGCAGACUAGAGGUAGGUAGGGGAGAAUGGAAUUCCUGGUGUAGCGGUGAAAUGCGCAGAUAUCAGGAAGAACACCCGUGGCGAAGGCGGCUCUCUGGAACGCAACUGACGCUGAGACGCGAAAGCGUGGGGAGCAAACAGG
rnacentral:rRNA from 1 species